rnacentral:rRNA from 1 species
AGGACGAACGCUGGCGGCGUGCUUAACACAUGCAAGUCGAGCGGUAAGGCUCCUUCGGGAGUACACGAGCGGCGAACGGGUGAGUAACACGUGAGUAAUCUGCCCUUCACUUCGGGAUAACCGCCGGAAACGGCGGCUAAUACCGAAUACGACGCACUCUCGCAUGAGAUGUGCGUGGAAAGUUUUCUCGGUGAAGGAUGUGCUCGCGGCCUAUCAGCUUGUUGGUGAGGUAACGGCUCACCAAGGCUUCGACGGGUAGCCGGCCUGAGAGGGUGACCGGCCACACUGGGACUGAGACACGGCCCAGACUCCUACGGGAGGCAGCAGUGGGGAAUAUUGGACAAUGGGCGAAAGCCUGAUCCAGCAACGCCGCGUGAGGGAUGACGGCCUUCGGGUUGUAAACCUCUUUCAGUACCGACGAAGCGCCAAUAACGGUGGUGACGGUAGGUACAGAAGAAGGACCGGCCAACUACGUGCCAGCAGCCGC